rnacentral:rRNA from 1 species
AGUCGNNCGGCAGCACGGGAGCAAUCCUGGUGGCGAGUGGCGAACGGGUGGGUAAUAUAUCGGAACGUGCCCAGUCGUGGGGGAUAACGUAGCGAAAGCUACGCUAAUACCGCAUACGAUCUACGGAUGAAAGCGGGGGACUCGUAAGGGCCUCGCGCGAUUGGAGCGGCCGAUAUCAGAUUAGGUUGUUGGUGAGGUAAAAGCUCACCAAGCCUGCGAUCUGUAGCUGGUCUGAGAGGACGACCAGCCACACUGGAACUGAGACACGGUCCAGACUCCUACGGGAGGCAGCAGUGGGGAAUUUUGGACAAUGGACGCAAGUCUGAUCCAGCAAUGCCGCGUGCAGGACGAAGGCCUUCGGGUUGUAAACUGCUUUUGUACGGAACGAAACGGUCUGCUUUAAUACAGUGGGCUAAUGACGGUACCGUAAGAAUAAGCACCGGCUAACUACGUGCCAGCAGCCGCGGUAAUACGUAGGGUGCGAGCGUUAAUCGGAAUUACUGGGCGUAAAGCGUGCGCAGGCGGUUAUAUAAGACAGAUGUGAAAUCCCCGGGCUCAACCUGGGACCUGCAUUUGUGACUGUAUAGCUAGAGUACGGUAGAGGGGGAUGGAAUUCCGCGUGUAGCAGUGAAAUGCGUAGAUAUGCGGAGGAACACCGAUGGCGAANGCAAUCCCCUGGACCUGUACUGACGCUCAUGCACGAAAGCGUGGGGAGCAAACAGGAUUAGAUACCCUGGUAGUCCACGCCCUAAACGAUGUCAACUGGUUGUUGGGUCUUCACUGACUCAGUAACGAAGCUAACGCGUGAAGUUGACCGCCUGGGGAGUACGGCCGCNAAGGUUGAAACUCAAAGGAANUNGACNGGGACCCGCACAAGCGGUGGAUGAUGUGGUUUNANUUCNAUGCAACGCGAAAAACCUUACCCACCUUUGACAUGUACNG